rnacentral:rRNA from 1 species
GUCUACAGCCAUGCCACCCUAAACAAGCCUGAUGUCUGAUCUUGGAAGCUAAGCUGGGUUGGGCCUGGUUAGUACUUGGAUGCGAGACCACCUAGGAAUUCCAGGUAUGCUGUAGAUG